AGAAUAAAUCAUUUUCAAAUUAAAAAUUUGAUGCUUUAAUAAAUAAGCUAUAAAAUCUUUAUGAUUAGUAGAGAAUAAUCACCGCAA
rnacentral:tRNA from 1 species